CUUGUACCUGGAGGAGCAUGCUAGGUGGCGGGGGAGGGGGAUUCGUCGGAGGCAGAGCAUGAAUAGAAGCCAAAUCUGAGCGGGAGGCAGGAUUGUCUAGUGCAAGAAGUGGCGCCGGGACGGGCGGGCCGCCGGGGAAUUCCAGAGCCGGGCCGCAGCGGGCACCGCCGUCCAUGUCAUCUCGCGCCGCCGGCCAUUGUACAGAUCUAUCACAGAUUAGGAACGGGGUUGGGGCAGCAAUAGCCGUCAGGUGUUUCGUAUAUAAACAGUCAUCAUGCAGAACUACAGCAAGCUCAACAAGCUGCCCACAAUCGUUGAAGAGGACGAAUCAGACAGGGGCAACCGGUAUAACGAUCCUACUUUCAGAUGUUGAGUUCAGAAGGUUUACUUUGUUAUAUCGCAGUUUGACCAGCAGAAACGAGACAUCGUUACCUCUAUGGGUUGGGGUGGCACUCUAUCCAUACCUCUGAUCAGCAAGUUAAGCGUCACGCAUAUGGUUUGGCUUUUGGGGAUGGUGGAUGAGGUCAGACAAGCCAUUAUUUUGGGACCGAAUAAGGUAUUUAAGUUCAAUGAGAGCGAUGUUGAGAAGGUAUUCGGAAUCCCGGCAGCUGGAAUAGAUGUGAUGGGCAAAACUCUGGAUAGGAGCGAGACUGUAUUUGCCCAUAAGGGGAUGCUUGGGCAUGCUAUAAGGGGAAGAUGUCACAAACAGAGGUGGCUGCAUUCGAAACUGCAUACAUCGUAUCUAGAUAGCAUUAAUUUGGGGGAAAUAAGCAUGGCACAUGAUGUGUUCCCCAGAAUAAAAGUUUUCACGGCGGAUAAAACUAGAGCCAUGAUCAAUGCCGACAAAAGGCCGAUGGAUUCAACGAAGAAUAGAGAUUUCAUUUUUGGCAGUUCAGCAGUAAGUCUCCACCCAGACCAUUAUAGGAUUCAGUUUAGCACUGCAUCUUCAGAGAGAGGGCAUACUCGUCGAUUUUUUCUCUUGUUUCGCAGCCACGAGAUGCUGCUAGUUCAGCAUAUUCCAGGGCAGAUAACGACUAUAUUGCACAACAACAAGGGGAUGCUUGGGCAUGUGCAUCAAAGAUUUGUGAUUCUAUGGGCUUGACUCAGGGUGGACACGGUCCGGGCCGGUCCGGUCCCGGUCCGAGCCGUCAUUUGGACCGGCCGCUGGCGGUCCGGGCCGGACCGGACCGAGCAGGCCAGCGGUCCUCUUUUCAGGGACCGGACCGGCGAGGCAAAAGCCCGGGCUGGACCGGCGGACCGGCCAACCACUCACCGGCGACGAGAUGGUGACCAUGGCGUCGGGGAGUGAAGCCUCUAGGCCCUAAUAAGAAGGGGGAACAGAGCGGGAAGGUGCAGUGACUCACGUAGAACACGAUGGUGUGGUCGGGGAGGCCGGGGAAGCAACGACGGCGACAUAAUCGACGAUGAAUGACGGCGACAGGAGUUCGGUAAGGAGGAAGAUGGCGAUGGCUUCGGAAUGAAUCAGGCCGAUUCAUUCCAUGGGGACGUAGAUCUCAUGGUCGCGGAGCUCCUGGACAUGGUGGUUGGUCGUUGGGAGGCCGGUCGCCGCGUCCGCGAGAGGUUGUGCACUGGACGGCGGCGGCAGCGGCACAGGUGCGUGCGUGUGUGCGUUUUUUUGAGCGAAACGUGUCCUGCAGGAUCGAGGCACUGUGAGGGAUGGAGAGGAGAGCUCAGGUGAGUGGCUGGUGGAGUGGUGAUGCGGCGGGCGGCACUCGCCGCUGGGAUGGGAGAGGAAGACGGUGGCGUCGCCGCUGUGAUUCUCGGUCCGCUCGGUCGGCUCGGUUAAAGCCCGGACCGGACCGAAGCUUUGUCGGGCCUGAUUCAUGAGCUCGGACCGAUUGAUUUUUUGAGCGGGCCACGAGCCGGUCCGAAAGGACCGCUCGUGUCGUCCACCCUGAGGCUUGACACAUCAGGCCAAACUUAACCUUUAUAAUAAGCUGAAAGCACAUCAGGAGGGCAUCAUGAAACAUGUUGAAGUUAUGAAUGCAAAUUUUUAUGGGAAGAUAUACAGAAUGUUGAACGACAACAAUUUUACACGUAAUCAGAGUGUAAUGCAUGCAUCUGGGUCGACAAUGUUAAAUAGAGACAACAAUGGCACGAAAUCAUCAACAGUGGAGGAUAAUAUGGCUUCCGAAGGUACGUAUCAGGACCUAUCAGACGCAUAAUGAUUUUGUUUGCAUGCAUUCCAUUUUCAUAGGUGGUUGUGUGUAAAACAAAUAAAUUGUGGACAUAUGUAUUAUAUGUUGGAUCACAGAUGUGAGCAGUCCAGUAAAGAGAAACACUGACGCUUGCAUUCAGCAUAUGCAAAAUAAACGCCCAUGUGUGUAUCUCGAUGGACCAAGCGACGCAGUAGCAUCGCAACAUUGUGGGGGACAGAGGUCUAAUUCUGAGCUGGAUGUCGAUCUGAACGUGGCCGAUCCACUGGCUAGUACGCCUGAGGGGAACAGCAUUCUGUGGUGGAUUAUCCCAUCAGUUUUCGUUUCUCGUAGACUGAGUGUCUCUACCUGGGGUGGGCUAUCAUGGAUGUUAGGAAACGUGUAACCACAGUGUGCUGGGACAACGAGCCGAGUUUCGAUUUAGGUUUGAAUUUUACCCCGUCACCAAAGGUGGACAAGAAUACGAAUGUCCGCGGUAGAUAUCAAGAUGGUGGUUAUGCUUUAUGUGGAAAUAUAUCAGAUGGGGAUGCUGCUGACAUUACCAACGGAUCACAAGGGGUUACAUCAUCAUGUGAGUCGUGGCGAAAUGAUGGCAUCGCGGGUGGGAGUAGUGAUGGUCAAGGACCAGACCAUUCAGCACACACCCCCAGCGCAUGACCAUCAGACAAUUUGGGCACACCAGCAAGUUCAGUGGCUGACUCUGUUCCUCCCUACUGGUACCUUAGCGAGCAGACAAGGUUCAAAUCAAACUUCACUCGCGGCAGCCUGAUGAUGGAAGCAGGUGGACUCGUUGGCGUGCCUCUCCACCUGCCAAAAGAUAUCCAUGGCUAGGAACAGGCGUGGCGAAUGCUGAGAAGGUCAGAGAGAUUACAUCGGGACUGCUUUAUCAUGUGGUAUAGUUCCUCCAAGCCAAGGCCAUGAUUUUGACAAUUGGAAUAGGAACCUUUUUUUAGUGUAAGACCAUUUUCAUAAUGGAGAAAUAAGACCAUUUUCAUAAUGGAGAAAUAAUUAAAUAAAGCAAAGAAUGAUGUCAGAUGAAUGGCAUUUGCUGUGUAUUUGACCUUUUUUGUGUGAAAUAAAAAAUUUGGGCAUA